rnacentral:lncRNA from 1 species
GUUCCUACCUAACUGUUGUGCCGGCCAGAAAUUGGUUCCUUAUUAUGUCCUUUUAUGAUCCAUAAAUAAGUUAAAAUGGUCUCAAAUGUUAUAUUGUUAUUAUUUAUUGUUGUUAAGAUAUUUCGUUAUUCACACCCCUGUUAAAUCCCAUCUGGUUUUCUUGUUAUUUAUCCGUUUGUUUACAUCUGAUGUUAAAGUACAUUUCUGGAAUGUCACCGGAAAUUGAUUGUUUACAUGUCGUUUAUGCAUGUUGAAGGGACUCCAAAAUUAGUAGUUUACGCUUGUUAUGCAAUAAUUAUGACUUGAUGUUGUAGAAAUCAUAGAAUUGUGUACUUCUAUAUUGUUUAAUUACUUAUUCAUGUCAAUAUUUGCUCUCAUAUUGUAGUUUUUAGUCUACUUUCACUUUUAACUUGCAGCUCAGAAUGUCCAUUUUUGUCGGGACACGAACCACUUCCAUUGGGAAUUUCACUUACUUUAUGUUAUGUCACGACUUUUAUCCUGCAUUACUAACUUUGUAAUACAUUUAUUUAUCCAUCUAGUUAGGUGUGAAUCCUUUGUGAAGUCUGAAUUAU